rnacentral:sRNA from 1 species
CACCCCACAAGUACAUACCUACUUAUGGAAACACGCACGCACACAUUCUCAGCAUACACAGAGUCCAAAGACAGCAAAGGAAAUACAGGGUUUUGAUUUCAUUUUGCAAGUAACAUACUUAUUUAUCCAUCUGCACAAAAACGCUUUAGUCCCUCCGAAAAGCUCUGAAGUACAACUUGAAGCUUGUAGAGCCUUCAAGCAGCUCUUGAAUUGUUCAGGAUUGUUUCAGGUCCUGGAAUGACCUAUUUCUCCUACAUCUUCGAAGGCCUCGAUUGUGAUUCAUCUCCCAUCUCACAAACAUUACCGGUCCGCUGAGAGAGAACUGACCAUUCGCAUUGUGUUUCUCAUACAACAUCAUCUGGAUUUCUGCAAUCAACUUCCUGAUUUGUCUUCAGUGGCCCUGGAGAGAUUCUGUCUAGGAAGAUUAUGCGUUUUUUCCCCCUUGCUUAAAUUCUUAGAGUCCUCAUCACAUGCUAACUACAGAGCUUAAGAGUGGGAUAGCAUAGGGGAAAUGUGUACAAAUCUUGCUUAGUAAUUCCAAUCUAUGUGUCUUUUCCCAAACUAGAAAUGACUAAUCUAAAAGAUAACCACAGCUAACAUUGAAAGCAGGCAUAUCUUAACAACUGAACACAUAUUUAUCAUCCUGUUUUAUAAUACAUAUUUAUAACAGUGUCUUAUGGCACUAUUUUAUGUCCACACAAGAAAAUGGAAGCUGAGAAAAGAUAAAUAACUUAUAUAGGAUUACAAUAAAACGCAAUCCUAGCAGAACAAGAAGCAAAAUGGGUAUCCUGUAGAUCCCACAUCUAUACUCCUAAGCUUUGCAUUUAUUUAACUCACAAUACAGUGUUUAUUUCA